GCCAGAACCUGGUGGGUUUAAAAAUGAAAAGAAUAAUCAUCUCAUGAACAGGAGCCCUGAGCUUCAUAGAAAGAAGAUGAGGGAGGCAGCUGCUCUCAUCUCCUUCUGCAUCCUGAACCAGGCACAAGGGAGGCGGCUGCCUCACUUUGCUGCCAUAAUUUUCCCGCCAUGAUCGACUGUCCCCUCCAAGCGGCUUCUGGUCAAGUAUUUGGUGAAAGAAAUGUAAGAAGCAAUCUGGAAAUAUGCUUCCAAAUGGGUAAAAAUAAACAAAGAUUCAGACAUCUCAGCAAAACUGGAAGCCAAGAAAUCAAAAGAAACCUUCGGACAACUGGAAAAAGCUUGAUCCUUGUAAGAAGCAAGCUCAUGUGUGUGCCCCAGUAGGAGUGGGGGGGAGGGGGGAGAGACCAAAGGGCUUUGACCCUGUGGCCCUCCGCAUCACAGGUGUUCCGAGCAUCUGUGGACAAAGCUGAAGCUGGAAGGAAGCAGAAUGUACCCAUCAAAGCUCUUCCCAUCACCGCCAUUUAUUAAAGAGAGGCAGUAAACAAA
rnacentral:lncRNA from 1 species